rnacentral:piRNA from 1 species
UCAUAUGGAUGUUGUGCUCUGAGCA